AUUGAACGCUGGCGGCAGGCCUAACACAUGCACGUCGAACGAGUGGCGGACGGGUGAGUAAUGUCUGGGAAACUGACCGAUGGAGGGGGACAACUACUGGAAACGGUAGCUAAUACCGCAUACCAUCGGAUGUGCCCAGAUGGGAGUAGCUAGUAGGUGGUGUAAUGGCUCACCUAGGCGACGAUCCCUAGCUGGUCUGAGAGGAUGACCAGGCACGCUGGAACUGAGACUCGGUCCAGACUCCUACGGGAGGCAGCAGUGGGGAAUAUUGCAAAAUGGGCGAUAGCCUGAUGCAGCCAUGCCGCGUGUAUGAAGACGGCCUUCGGGUUGUAAAGUACUUUCAGCGAGGAGGCGUUACUCGCAGAAGAAGCACCGGCUAACUCCGUGCCAGCAGCCGCGGUAAUAC
rnacentral:rRNA from 1 species